AUUGAACGCUGGCGGCAGGCUUAACACAUGCAAGUCGAACGCGAAAGGGGCUUCGGCCCUGAGUAGAGUGGCAGACGGGUGAGUAACACGUGGGUAAUUUGUCCUUGGGUGUGGAAUAACUACCCGAAAGGGUGGCUAAUACCGCAUAAGACCACGCUCUUACGGGAGUGCGGUAAAAGAUUUCGGUUGCCUGAGGAGGAGCCCGCGGCCGAUUAGCUAGUUGGUGAGGUAAUGGCUCACCAAGGCGUCGAUCGGUAGCUGGUCUGAGAGGAUGAUCAGACACACUGGUACUUAGACACGGACCAGACUCCUACGGGAGGCAGCAGUGGGGAAUAUUGCGCAAUGGGCGAAAGCCUGACGCAGCAACGCCGCGUGGGUGAUGAAGGCCUUUGGGUCGUAAAGCCCUGUCAGAUGGGAAGAAACCUGGUAACAGCUGACGGUACCAUCAAAGGAAGCACCGGCUAACUCCGUGCCAGCCGCCGCGGUAA
rnacentral:rRNA from 1 species